CUGUCCGUCCUCCGGAGCGGAGACAAGGAACCGCAGAGGCUGCUUACUACACAAAAAGACACAGAGUGCUGGAGGAACUCAGCGGGUCAG